rnacentral:tRNA from 5 species
GCGGAAGUAGCUCAGUUGAUAGAGCAUUAGCCUUCCAAGCUGAGGGUCGCGGGUUUGAAUCCCGUCUUCCGCU